UGUCUAGGGGUUCAAACCUAAAGAACCCAAAUAUCUAAACGGAGAAAUUCAAUACUGUUCCCUUUAAACCGGAACAGUGUGCACUUUUCUCUUAGUAAGACGUUGUGAUCCAUUAGGAAUCGAUUAUUUUAUUAAUGAAUAAUUAAUAGGCUACCAAUAGGCUGGUAUUGAAGUUCACUUUGGCAAAUAACACGAUCGUUUAUGGUUUUGUAUAUUGUCUUGUGAGCAUAUCAUGUACUGAUGUAGCUGCCUGAUGGAUUUUAAAGGUCAUAUCAUUGAUGCUUGUCCAUCACCCGUCUUGUAUGGGAUAGAUAUGUACCCGAUCAACAACGGUUUCAUUUGGGAUACCUUUGGGACCCGUCUUGAAACACGGACCAAGGAGUCUAUCUAGUAUGCGAGUAAAUGGGCCAAUUAUUUAAAUGAAACCUAUUUGCGUAAAUAACUUGACUGUUUUUAAUGGGAUUACGUGUACAUUUACUUUUUGUGUGUGCGCCUCCAUCCCGGGGUAUUUUCAUAACAUAUAUGGGCAACUAUAUAUAGAAAAUAUACCAUGAGCAUACUGGACAUGACCCGAAAGAUGGUGAACUAUGCCUGAUCAGGUUGAAGUCAGGGGAAACCCUGAUGGAGGACCGAAGCAAUUCUGACGUGCAAAUCGAUUGUCAGAAUUGGGCAUAGGGGCGAAAGACCAAUCGAACCAUC
rnacentral:rRNA from 1 species